rnacentral:rRNA from 1 species
GACGAACGCUGGCGGCGUGCCUAAUACAUGCAAGUAGAACGCACAGUUUAUACCGUAGCUUGCUACACCAUAGACUGUGAGUUGCGAACGGGUGAGUAACGCGUAGGUAACCUGCCUGGUAGCGGGGGAUAACUAUUGGAAACGAUAGCUAAUACAGCAUAAUAUUAAUUAUUGCAUGAUAAUUAAUUGAAAGGUGCAAUUGCACCACAACCAGAUGGACCUGCGUUGUAUUAGCUAGUAGGGGAGGUAACGGCUCACCUAGGCGACGACACAUAGCCGACCUGAGAGGGUGCUCUGCCACGCUGGGCCUGGGACACGGCCCAGACUCCUACGGGAGGCAGCCGUAGGGAAUCUUCGGCAAUGGACGAAAGUCUGACCGAGCAACGCCGCGGGAGUGAAGAAGGUUUUCGGAUCGUAAAGCUCUGUUGUUAGAGAAGAACGGGUGUGAGAGUGGAAAGUUCACACUGUGACGGUAUCUUACCAGAAAGGGACGGCCAACUACGUG